CGGACGGGUGAGUAACGCGUGAGAAUCUGCCUCCAGGUCGGGGACAACAGCGGGAAACUGCUGCUAAUCCCGGAUAAGCCCUAGGGUAAAAGAUUUAUUGCCUGGAGAGGAGCUCGCGUCCGAUUAGCUAGAUGGUGAGGUAAGAGCUCACCAUGGCGACGAUCGGUAGCUGUUCUGAGAGGAAGAUCAGCCACACUGGGACUGAGACACGGCCCAGACUCCUACGGGAGGCAGCAGUGGGGAAUUUUCCGCAAUGGGCGAAAGCCUGACGGAGCAAGACCGCGUGCGGGAAGAAGGCCCUUGGGUCGUAAACCGCUUUUCUUAGGGAAGAAGCUCUGACGGUACCUAAGGAAUCAGCCUCGGCUAACUCCGUGCCAGCAGCCGCGGUAAUACGGAGGAGGCAAGCGUUAUCCGGAAUUAUUGGACGUAAAGCGUCCGCAGGCGGCUUAUCAAGUCUGCUGUCAAAGACUGGGGCUCAACCCUGGGGAGGCAGUGGAAACUGAGAAGCUAGAGUGCAGUAUGGGUAGAGGGAAUUCCCAGUGUAGCGGUGAAAUGCGUAGAGAUUGGGAAGAACACCGGUGGCGAAAGCGCUCUACUGGGCUGUAACUGACGCUGAGGGACGAAAGCUAGGGGAGCGAAAGGGAUUAGAUACCCCUGUAGU
rnacentral:rRNA from 1 species